CGUCUCUCCAAAUCAGACCAGGUCUUCCCCAGAAAGUCUGCCAAUGAUCUACAAAGCCCACAUUGUUUGCUUUAAUAUCUGAAGGCACAUAUUAAAAAUCUUAUAUCCACGCAUUCGGGGGAUCAAGCUGAAUCUCAUGGAAGUCCCACCGGCACCAAACUUGGCACGAACCAUCUGUGGACCAUCUCUGAUAAAAGUGAAUUAAAAAAUGUGUGAAGAAGCAACUGAAUAUGGGCAUUGGUGGUUCAGAUCCUGAGCUCAUGUUACUGGGCUUUUCCCAAGCACGAGGAACUGCUGGGCACUGAACUAAUUAAGUUCAAAAAGACAGUCAACGCAUUUAAAUA